rnacentral:rRNA from 1 species
CCCGAGGCGCACUGCUCAGUAACACGUGGAGAAUCUGCCCUUAGGUGAGGAAUAACCUCGGGAAACUGAGAAUAAUACCUCAUAGGUUAUGGAUGCUGGAAUGCUUCAUAGCCCACAGCCCAGGCGCCUAAGGAUGACUCUGCGGACUAUCAGGUAGUAGUCAGGGUAACGACCUGACUAGCCUACGACGGAUACGGGGUGUGAGAGCACUAGCCCGGAGAUGGAUUCAGAGACACGAAUCCAGGCCCUACGGGGUGCAGCAGGCGCGAAACUUCCGCAAUGCUCGCCAGAGUGACGGAGGGAUUCCAAGUGCCUAUGCUAUGCGUAGGCUGUUUUUAUGUCUAAAUAACAUGGAGAGUAAGAGCUGGGUAAGACGGGUGCCAGCCGCCGCGGUAAUACCUGCAGCUCGAGUGGUAACCGCUAUUAUUGGGCCUAAAGCGUCCGUAGCCGGUUUGGUAAAUAUCUGGGUAAAUCGUGAGGCUUAACUUCACGA